UCUCCGUAGGUGAACCUGCGGAGGGAUCAUUACAGUAGUUGUCUUGAACAACGUUAACCCAUGUGAACUUACCUUUGUUGCCUCGGCCGUCUCCGCGGUCGUGGUUCUGGGCUUAGCCCAGGCCACGCCGCGCCGGCCAGCGGGCCAACUAAAACUCUUGAAUAACGAUGAAAUCUGAGCGUAUUGAUUUUAACGAGUCAAAACUUUCAACAACGGAUCUCUUGGUUCUGGCAUCGAUGAAGAACGCAGC
rnacentral:misc_RNA from 1 species